GACGAACGCUGGCGGCGUGCUUAACACAUGCAAGUCGAACGGAAAGGCCCUGCUUUUGUGGGGUGUUCGAGUGGCGAACGGGUGAGUAACACGUGAGUAACCUGCCCUUGCCUUUGGGAUAACUUCUGGAAACUGGGGCUACUACCGGAUAGGAGCCCCUCUUGACUGGUGGGGGUUGGAAAGCUUCGGCGGUUGGGGAUGGACUCGCGGCUUAUCAGCUUGUUGGUGGGGUAGUGGCUUACCAAGGCUUUGACGGGUAGCCGGCCUGAGAGGGUGACCGGCCACAUUGGGACUGAGAUACGGCCCAGACUCCUACGGGAGGCAGCAGUGGGGAAUAUUGCACAAUGGGCGGAAGCCUGAUGCAGCAACGCCGCGUGCGGGAUGACGGCCUUCGGGUUGUAAACCGCUUUCGCCUGUGACGAAGCGUGAGUGACGGUAAUGGGUAAAGAAGCACCGGCUAACUACGUG
rnacentral:rRNA from 1 species